AUUGAACGCUGGCGGCAGGCUUAACACAUGCAAGUCGAGCGGAGAUGAGGUGCCUGCACCUUAUCUUAGCGGCGGACGGGUGAGUAAUGCUUAGGAAUCUGCCUAUUAGUGGGGGACAACAUUCCGAAAGGAAUGCUAAUACCGCAUACGCCCUACGGGGGAAAGCAGGGGAUCUUCGGACCUUGCGCUAAUAGAUGAGCCUAAGUCGGAUUAGCUAGUUGGUGGGGUAAAGGCCUACCAAGGCGACGAUCUGUAGCGGGUCUGAGAGGAUGAUCCGCCAGACUGGGACUGAGACACGGCCCAGACUCCUACGGAAGGCAGCAGUGGGGAAUAUUGGCAAAUGGGCGGAAGUCUGAUCCAGCCAUGCCGAGUGUGUGAAGAAGGCCUUUUGGUUGUAAAGCACUUUAAGCGAGGAGGAGGCUACCUGGAUUAAUACUCUAGGAUAGUGGACGUUACUCGCAGAAUAAGCACCGGCUAACUCUGUGCCAGCCGCCGCAGUAACAC
rnacentral:rRNA from 1 species